GAUCAUGGCUCAGGAUGAACGCUGGCGGCGUGCUUAACACAUGCAAGUCGAACGAAGCACUCUAUUUGAUUUUCUUCGGAAAUGAAGAUUUUGUGACUGAGUGGCGGACGGGUGAGUAACGCGUGGGUAACCUGCCUCAUACAGGGGGAUAACAGUUGGAAACGACUGCUAAUACCGCAUAAGCGCACAGGAUUGCAUGAUCCGGUGUGAAAAACUCCGGUGGUAUGGGACGG
rnacentral:rRNA from 1 species